UGGGGAAUCUCGCGCAAUGCGCGAAAGCGUGACGCAGCAACGCCGCGUGAGGGAAGACGGCCUUCGGGUUGUAAACCUCUUUCAGGAGGGACGAAGCCUGGCGGGUGAAUAGCCUGUCCAGGUGACGGUACCUCCACAAGAAGCCCCGGCUAACUACGUG
rnacentral:rRNA from 1 species